GACGAGGGAUCCUAGCGUUGUUCGGAAUUAUUGGGCGUAAAGCGGGUGUAGGUGGCUUUGUAAGUCAGGUGUGAAAGCCUAGGGCUCAACCCUAGAAGUGCAUUUGAUACUGCGAAGCUUGAGUGCUGGAGAGGAUAGUAGAAUUGUUGGUGUAGUGGUGAAAUACGUAGAUAUCAACAGGAAUACCGGUGGCGAAGGCGGCUAUCUGGCCAGACACUGACACUCAGACCCGAAAGUGCGGGGAUCAAACAGG
rnacentral:rRNA from 1 species